GUCCACGCCCUAAACGAUGUCAACUAGCUGUUGGGGCCUUCGGGCCUUGGUAGCGCAGCUAACGCGUGAAGUUGACCGCCUGGGGAGUACGGUCGCAAGAUUAAAACUCAAAGGAAUUGACGGGGACCCGCACAAGCGGUGGAUGAUGUGGAUUAAUUCGAUGCAACGCGAAAAACCUUACCUACCCUUGACAUGUCUGGAAUGCCGAAGAGAUUUGGUAGUGCUCGCAAGAGAACCGGAACACAGGUGCUGCAUGGCU
rnacentral:rRNA from 1 species